CAGUAGCCGCGGUAAUACGCAGGCAGCGAGCGUUGUUCGGAAUUACUGGGCGUAAAGAGUGUGUAGGCGGUGCUCUAAGUUCGGUGUGAAAUCUCCCGGCUUAACUGGGAGGGUGCGCCGGAAACUGGAAUGCUCGAACGUGGGAGAGGAAAGCGGAAUUCCUGGUGUAGCGGUGAAAUGCGUAGAUAUCAGGAGGAACACCUGCGGUGUAGACGGCUUUCUGGACCAUUGUUGACGCUGAGACACGAAAGCGUGGGUAGCAAACAGGAUUAGAUACCCCAGUAGUCCCUGUCUCUUAUAA
rnacentral:rRNA from 1 species